rnacentral:rRNA from 1 species
AUUGAACGCUGGCGGCAUGCCUUACACAUGCAAGUCGAACAGUAACAGGUCUUCGGAUGCUGACGAGUGGCGAACGGGUGAGUAAUACAUCAGAACGUGCCUAGUAGUGGGGGAUAACUACUCGAAAGAGUGGCUAAUACCGCAUGAGAUCUACGGAUGAAAGCAGGGGAUCGCAAGACCUUGUGCUACUAGAGCGGCCGAUGGCAGAUUAGGUAGUUGGUGGGAUAAAAGCUUACCAAGCCGACGAUCUGUAGCUGGUCUGAGAGGACGAUCAGCCACACUGGGACUGAGACACGGCCCAGACUCUUACGGGAGGCAGCAGUGGGGAAUUUUGGACAAUGGGCGCAAGCCUGAUCCAGCAAUGCCGCGUGCAGGAUGAAGGCCUUCGGGUUGUAAACUGCUUUUGUACGGAACGAAAAGCCCUGGGUUAAUACCCUGGGGUCAUGACGGUACCGUAAGAAUAAGCACCGGCUAACUACGUGCCAGCCGCCGCCGUAA